rnacentral:rRNA from 1 species
CCCUUAGAUGUUCUGGGCCGCACGCGCGCUACACUGAUGCAUUCAACAAGCCUAGCCUUGACCGAGAGGUCCGGGUAAUCUUUGAAACUGCAUCGUGAUGGGGCUAGAUUAUUGCAAUUAUUAAUCUUCAACGAGGAAUGCCUAGUAAGCGUGAUUCAUCAAAUCGCGUUGAUUACGUCCCUGCCCUUUGUACACACCGCCCGUCGCUCCUACCGAUUGAAUGUGUUGGUUAGGAGCUCGGAUUGGCAGCAGUUGGUGGUUCGCCACCGGCUAUUGCUGAGAAGUCCUCCAAACCGCCCCAUUUAGAGGAAGGAGAAGUCGUAACA